ensembl:lncRNA
AGCACAUCAUGUAGCAAUGUUUCUAUGGCCCCUCUCGCUCUCUCUGAGAGGAUAGUGUGAAAGGUGUGAGGCGCAGAAUAAGACAGCAGACAGAAAGACGGGAAAAGUGGAUUUUUGUUGGUUUUUCUUUGCAUGCCAGCAAAAGAGGGGAUUUGUUUUCUGUUUGGAAAAUGGACAACAGUGAGGUGGGAGAAAAAAAGGGGAAAAGGACGACUUUCUCUUGCCCCUACCUCACCCCCGCCCCCACCCCCACCCCCCUUACCCCGUCUGAUACAGAGGAAAAGUGGGCCUCUGGCUGUAAGCGAUUACAGCUGUGAGGCAAAUUAAUGGAUGAUCUCUCCCUCUCUCCUCGUUCUCCUUCGAUCAGCACGGGCAGGAGAAAGAAAAAGACUGAGGGAGACGCUCUGAGAAGGGAGAGGGAGGUAUGCUUUUUCUUUUUCUCCUGUCUUCCCUCCUUUCCACCUCUGCAUGUGAUUGGAAAGAUAAAGCGGAGCGAGACAAGAGAUCAGCAGGCACAUUGGUUUUUGUCCCUUAACUUGGGUGUGCGUGCACGUCCUCCCCCUUUGUCGCCAACCUGCGCCUGGGACCUGCAGGUUUGGACACAAAGCAGUGAGCUCGGAGAGCAGCGAGCGAUUGGGGCAUCCUGGAUCCAAAGGGGAGGCAGAAAAUCCUGCAGGAUCUGCAGUGGAUGUGGAUCUGCAGGCAGGAUGUACGCGCCGACCUGGACGAGGCACCUUCGACUUUCUGUUCAAACUGAACAGGUGUCCUCUGACGUGUGUUCAUGAAGAACAUUCAGAGCUGCGAUCCUUCUUUGGCGUCUGUUACCUUCAAUGUGAAAUAGAGGGCGCGAUUUAAAGCUUAAAACUCUGUCCCAGUGCGUACUGGAGCUGUCUGAGGUGCAAUAAACUUCCAUCUAAUUCCUGUCUCAGUGAACUUUCUUGGUAUUGUAGCUGCAUGCUGCUCUGCUCAUCUGUGGUGGCUGUGAUGCUUUUGUUGUAGCCUUCACAAUGUGCUUCCAGUGGAAACGGAGCGAAGAGCAGAAUUUGUAUCAUGUGUGAAUUUCCUGUUAGAUCAUUUAACAAAGCCGGCGUUUUUUUAUAACCGACACGAUACUGAAACAUGCUGCUUCUCAGAUUUAAGCCAAGCUACUGAACAGCACUGCAGCUCGACAUACUGUACAGAGCCUGUUACGACCUGCCCAGCAGUCUCGUGUGACUCAAUUCACCAUUUUUUCUCCAAACCCAGUUUUCCGACUGGUUAAUGUGCUCCAUUAAUCCACACACACGUGUGUUUUUGGAUAUUUCCAGAUGAUCCAGUUGUGCUAUUUUUAGAUAUUAUAUUCUGAUGUAAACUCCUGUGUUAUCUCAGUUUGUGGAAUUAUUUGUUUAUUUCAAACCGACGCCACGUUUGUUCAUAUAGAUAUUUCAGUUUCUUCUGAAUAAAUAUAGAAGUUUUUUCCUUCUUAUGUGUCUAAAUAAAACCUCACUGCUGUCAUUUCACAUGAUUGUCAAUUCUUUCAACUCUUACACUUAUUAAUAGAAGCUCUGUGUGAAGCGUGAGAUUUGACCAUCUAACGUGUUUUUAUUUCAUCUUUGGGAGUAUUUUUAUACUCUUUUUUUCAUAGAUCUAUUAAAGCUCCGACUGUUGUUUUUGUUUCUGUGAGUUAUGGAGACGUGUUACAGGAUCUUCUUAAAAACAAUAAAUUAGAUAAGACAGCUGACGAGGAUGAUGUCAGUCUUCUUUCAGCUCUGUCCAUAUGUCUUUAAAUGAGACUUUUUUAUAUUGUUGUGAAACAUGAGUCUGUUUCUGACUGGACCUACAUUAAUGUUUGGAUGGUUUAUUAAAAGUGUGCAGAUAUCAAUAAGUGUUUUUUUUCUUGCUUUUAGAGGAAAAUCAGCACAUUCUUGGUUUCAGUGUAGCGGUUGUAUUUUACAUGCGGUGCUCGGCCUUCGUUGUGUAACAGCUUCUAAAUGACUUUGUCUCUCUCUCUCUUGCAGCCUUUUAGACCAGGUCAGGACAUGUCGGGGAACAGUUGAUGAACAUGAGACGCAUAUAACAACCAGCUUCCCACACACCGUGUAGACAUCUUUGUUUUAUAUCUUAUAGUUUGACCAGGACAUGCGUGUGAUCUGUGACAGUAGCAGCUGCUUUUUAAUGCUUCACGUCUCUGUAAUAUAAACAUGUAAAUAAAGUAUUAAUGAAA